AUUUCAUUAAGAAGAAUAGAAUGGCUCCGUUUAUAAGGAAAACCGAGCCGAAAACCGUACAAUGCACAGCUUAUUUAAGAAAAGCCCUACAAAACCCCUGACUAGGAGCAUUACAAAGCAAAACCGACAAACAAGUUACAACCGCAAAAGUGAACCGCCACCCGCUCCAACGACACCGGACAGGGAACGACUCCUAACGCCAGAAGAAGGUAGGCAGAGCCGGGCUUCUCCGGCGACCGGAGCAAAGGAGAGGUCACCUCGACAGGAACAACUCACGUAUCGGCGAGCCUGCGCCACUCGAAGCCACACUCUCUGGCCAAAGCCCAUCCAAACUCAUCGCAUCACAUUCACCGCCGUUAGACGAGGGCUCCAAAGACAACGCCUCCAAGGAGGAAACGACGUC
rnacentral:lncRNA from 1 species